GAGCCAUUUACUUUAGAAUGACGUUGAGGACUUUUUAAACAGGCCAUCUACGCAAAUUUCUAUUCCACUCUAUUCAACGGGUCAGUUUAUAUAUCAAAUCUGACACCUUCUGAGGCCUCCUACUUUCAAGGGAAUUUAAUCUAGGAAGAUGUGUUUCACCUUCUCGGAAACUGGAUGAAUGCUUUCACAAACUUUAAGUUCCAUUAUCCUAAAAUGUUAUUGUAGAUCGCCAGGAAAGCAAUGUACAAUUAUUUCUCCCUCCAGUCUUAAAAUGAAUGCUCUGAAAGGAAAAUGAUAAUAACAUAGAGAUGAAUAGCAACCAAAUGAGAAAGAAAGAGAAACCAACAUGCUGAUCUUUGAAUUCUAUUAACUGAUAGAAAUUAGUCAACGUCCUCCUUGAAUGGCAAUUUCUGGUGUGGCUGAAUGUUGGAGAAUUAAGUGUUUUACUCUGGUGUUGUUUACUUGAUGUCAUUCAUCCAUAACCUGUGCUCGUCUUCAUUAAGAUCAUUUACAGCUCAGAAAGAAGAAAAUAUAUUUCCAUCAAUUGAUCCUGGAUUAGGAAAUAAAGGGUGUUCUUAGAAACUCCAGAAUCUGCAAAAGCAAAGGAAUCAUUUUUUUAAAAGUUAAAAACUAUGAAAAGAUUUCAAAGUGUUAUGUUUAAAAGUUAACUAACUAGCUUGGAAUUUGGGAAUGUGCCUGUAAAAUCCUAACACUUGGGAGAUGGGAAGGCCAGGAGUUCAAGGCCAGUCUCUGCUACAUAGGAAGUUUACGGCCGGCUGUGCUGCAGUAAACCCUGUCUCAAAAAAGAAAAGUAAAUUUAAUUGACUGUAAUGAGAUGCUGAGGUUGAACAGUAGUUCUAGAAGUUCAACAAAAAGAAUAAUUAGACAAGUUUUAAAGAGUAGGAGAGAUGGCGUGAUCAAAGACUAAGUAGUACUGUGUUAGUCUAGAUGGCUCAUUAAUGUUGCUUGGAAAAAGAAAAGUUUUUCAAAUGUGAGUAAGACCUAUACUAACAAUGGUGAAUGCAUUCUUCAAAAAUUAAAUGUUCUGACUCAAAAAGUCACUUGCCAUGCCUGGUUUUCUACUAUUGUCUAACCAAUUCAUUUGUAAUUGAUUCACUUGGUAGCAUUUCUCUUAUUACAAUCUAUAUAUGUUUAAAUCAAAGAUAAAUGGAGGACUUUGGGGGGGAAAGGCUUGUAAUAUAAGAAUGCAAAAGUCCAGGUAUGAAACAUUGUUACUCUCACAGAAACUGAGGAAUCUCUCAGAAGUGGAUCCAACUUAACUCUAAAUCUCAAAUGUCCAUACAACUGUAGACAGACUGAUCCAUAGACAAACCUUUAAAUAAAAGACAAACAUACUUUAAAUUAAA